UACAGUAUGAGAUCAGUGGUUAAGACAUUGGUCUACUGCUCAGAAGGUUGUGAGUUCAAACCCCAGUGCUGCCA